rnacentral:tRNA from 1 species
UGUAUUUUGGUGUAUGAUGCACAUUAAGUUUUGAUCUUAAUGGAUAUAGUUUAAUUCUAUAAUUUACAA